rnacentral:rRNA from 1 species
UACGAAGGGGGCUAGCGUUGUUCGGAAUUACUGGGCGUAAAGCGCGUGUAGGCGGGCCGUUAAGUCGGGGGUGAAAGCCCAGAGCUCAACUCUGGAACUGCCUUCGAUACUGGCGGCCUGGAGCAUGAUAGAGGCGAGUGGAAUUGCGAGUGUAGAGGUGAAAUUCGUAGAUAUUCGCAGGAACACCAGUGGCGACGGCGACUCGCUGGAUCAUUGCUGACGCUGAGACGCGAAAGUGUGGGGAGCAAACAGG